rnacentral:misc_RNA from 1 species
AAAGAUUUUUUCCGAUGGCUCGCAAGCGCUGCGUAGAUCGACGACGCGGCACGGGGCUGUCUCAAACACCAACGUGACGGCGUGGGUCGGGACUGCGCAGAUCGAGCGAAGCACGCGGUGCGGAGGGGAUCCGAGGCUGCUAUUUUUUUUGAACCGGCACUGCUGCGCAGAAAAGUUGGACGCCAUGGCACCUGACCGAGCAGGGGCUCCUCGCUGCCGCACUAAGGGAAAAGGAUGGAGGGGGCGAGCAGGGGCGUCGGCGUGCUCCCAAUGAGCUCCUACGCGCAGGGAAGAAAAAAAACUCCCUGCUGCCGAACGCCGUGCAGAAGGGGGCGCUGGGCAGAGUAGGGUGCUGGUCCUGGGCGUUUCCUGGCCGCUGGCAGGGAAGAGCAGGGGGGCGCCAUGGCCAUGGAGGAAAUGGAGCUGCUGCGUCGCCCAUGGACAUGGAGCUCGUCGAGGUCGGCCCAGGGAGCUCGUGCGCGCAAAGGAACAUCAGGGGGGAAAAGAAGCUCAACCAUAGCUGCUGGAGGUGCUCGGCUAGGGAGGGAGCAUGGAGAUGGAGCCGACUUCCAUGGGGAAGUAGGGGAGGACGCCAUGGCUGCUGGCCGAGCUCCCUGCUGGCCGCUGUCGGGAAGAAGACAGGGAGUCGGCUGGAGCAGACCUGCGCGAGGGAGAAGGAGGAAGAGAGUGGCGGCUCAAAAAUUUAGAGGGGUGGGGG